rnacentral:rRNA from 1 species
CCUACGGGUGGCAGCAGUGAGGAAUAUUGGUCAAUGGACGAGAGUCUGAACCAGCCAAGCCGCGUGAAGGAUGACUGUCCUAUGGGUUGUAAACUUCUUUUAUAAAGGAAUAAAACGAGGCACGUGUGCCCUUUUGCAUGUACUUUAUGAAAAAGGAUCGGCUAACUCCGUGCCAGCAGCCGCGGUAAUACGGAGGAUCCGAGCGUUAUCCGGAUUUAUUGGGUUUAAAGGGAGCGUAGACGGGUUGUUAAGUCAGCUGUGAAAGGUCGCGGCUCAACCGUAAAAUUGCAGUUGAUACUGGCAGUCUUGAGUAGGGUUGAGGUAUGCGGAAUGCGUGGUGUAGCGGUGAAAUGCUUAGAUAUCGCGAAGAACCCCGAUUGCGAAGGCAGCAUGCU